rnacentral:lncRNA from 1 species
AGGUCUCCUCCAAGUGUGGGUCUAAGGCUAACAUCAAGCACAAGCCUGGUGGAGGAGAUGUCAAGAUUGAAAGUCAGAAGUUGAACUUCAAGGAGAAGGCCCAGGCCAAGGUGGGAUCCCUCGAUAAUGUGGGCCACCUACCUGCAGGAGGUGCUGUGAAGGUAGCGAGUGGGUCACUGGGGAGACACAGCUGGGGAGGGGUGGGAACUAUGCAGUUAGGGUCAGGGUCCUCACAGGUAGGCACCUGUCACCGCCCCUCAGUCUCUUCAGGAGUCAUGUCUUCA